rnacentral:rRNA from 1 species
AUGAACGCUAGCUACAGGCUUAACACAUGCAAGUCGAGGGGAAACGACAUCGAAAGCUUGCUUUUGAUGGGCGUCGACCGGCGCACGGGUGAGUAACGCGUAUCCAACCUGCCCAUCACUUGGGGAUAACCUUGCGAAAGUAAGACUAAUACCCAAUGAUAUCUCUAGAAGACAUCUGAAAGAGAUUAAAGAUUUAUCGGUGAUGGAUGGGGAUGCGUCUGAUUAGCUUGUUGGCGGGGUAACGGCCCACCAAGGCAACGAUCAGUAGGGGUUCUGAGAGGAAGGUCCCCCACAUUGGAACUGAGACACGGUCCAAACUCCUACGGGAGGCAGCAGUGAGGAAUAUUGGUCAAUGGACGAGAGUCUGAACCAGCCAAGUAGCGUGCAGGAAGACGACCCUAUGGGUUGUAAACUGCUUUUAUAAGGGAAUAAAGUGAGUCUCGUGAGACUUUUUGCAUGUACCUUAUGAAUAAGGACCGGCUAAUUCCGUGCCAGCAGCCGCGGUAAUACGGAAGGUCCGGGCGUUAUCCGGAUUUAUUGGGUUUAAAGGGAGCGUAGGCCGGAGAUUAAGCGUGUUGUGAAAUGUAGGCGCUCAACGUCUGCACUGCAGCGCGAACUGGUUUCCUUGAGUACGCACAAAGUGGGCGGAAUUCGUGGUGUAGCGGUGAAAUGCUUAGAUAUCACGAAGAACUCCGAUUGCGAAGGCAGCUCACUGGAGCGCAACUGACGCUGAAGCUCGAAAGUGCGGGUAUCGAACAGGAUUAGAUACCCUGGUAGUCCGCACGGUAAACGAUGGAUGCCCGCUGUUGGUCUGAACAGGUCAGCGGCCAAGCGAAAGCAUUAAGCAUCCCACCUGGGGAGUACGCCGGCAACGGUGAAACUCAAAGGAAUUGACGGGGGCCCGCACAAGCGGUGGAGCAUGUGGUUUAAUUCGAAGCAACGCGAAGAACCUUACCAAGUCUUGACAUCCCUCUGACCGAUCCGUAACGGGAUCUUUCCUUCGGGACAGGGGAGACAGGUGGUGCAUGGUUGUCGUCAGCUCGUGCCGUGAGGUGUCGGCUUAAGUGCCAUAACGAGCGCAACCCCUCUCCUUAGUUGCCAUCAGGUUAAGCUGGGCACUCUGGGGACACUGCCACCGUAAGGUGUGAGGAAGGUGGGGAUGACGUCAAAUCAGCACGGCCCUUACGUCCGGGGCUACACACGUGUUACAAUGGCAGGUACAGAGAGACGGUUGUACGUAAGUACGAUCAAAUCCUUAAAGCCUGUCUCAGUUCGGACUGGGGUCUGCAACCCGACCCCACGAAGCUGGAUUCGCUAGUAAUCGCGCAUCAGCCAUGGCGCGGUGAAUACGUUCCCGGGCCUUGUACACACCGCCCGUCAAGCCAUGAAAGCCGGGGGCGCCUAAAGUCCGUGACCGUAAGGAGCGGCCUAGGGCGAAACUGGUAAUUGGGGCU